rnacentral:rRNA from 1 species
AUUGAACGCUGGCGGCAUGCCUUACACAUGCAAGUCGAACGGCAGCGGACCUUCGGGUGCCGGCGAGUGGCGAACGGGUGAGUAAUGCAUCGGAACGUACCUUUCAGUGGGGGAUAACGUAGCGAAAGUUACGCUAAUACCGCAUAUUCUGUGAGCAGGAAAGCAGGGGAUCGCAAGACCUUGCGCUGAUUGAGCGGCCGAUGUCAGAUUAGCUAGUUGGUGAGGUAAAGGCUCACCAAGGCGACGAUCUGUAGCGGGUCUGAGAGGAUGAUCCGCCACACGGGGACUGAGACACGGCCCAGACUACUACGGGAGGCAGCAGUGGGGAAUUUUGGACAAUGGGGGCAACCCUGAUCCAGCCAUGCCGCGUGAGUGAAGAAGGCCUUCGGGUUGUAAAGCUCUCUCGGCCGGGAAGAAAUCGCACAGGCUAAUACCUUGUGUGGAUGACGGUACCGGAAUAAGAAGCACCGGCUAACUACGUGCCAGCCGCCGCGGUAACAC